rnacentral:rRNA from 1 species
UCGUUGCAAGGAACUCCGAAGAGCUGUGGCAAGGGGUGAAAAGCCAAUCUAACCUAGAGAUAGCUGGUCUUCUGCGAAACCCGUUUUAGCGGGUAGCCUAUUUUUUAGUUACUAGACGGUAUGGCACUGGAAGCCAUGCAGUUAAUUUUUUAAUUGCUUAAUUGGGGGACUGUCAUGGUUCUAUCAAUGGUUUCUAAUCCCAGAAAUGUAUAGUAUAUUAUGGUGGGCAAUCAGACAUAUUGUGAUAAGGCAAUUUGUCAAAAGGGAAACAGCCCAGAACAGGAGUAAAGGUCCCUAACAUACUACUGAGUGAACAUAAGGAAGUCUUCUCCAGUGUCUCUCCACAAAGUGGGCUUGGAAGCAGCCAUCUUUUAGCGAUAGCGUAACAGCUCAAUGGUCUGAGCAAGGGAAAAUUGCCUGGAGAGGGCACCAAGAAUGUAACGGGUCUAUAGUAGUUGUCUCUCUGAGAGUGGCAGUUGAAAUAGAAUCAGACUGCUUCACCGAAACCCUGUCCUAGAUAUUUAAUUCUAGGGGUAGCAGAAUAUCCAGUAAAUGGAAUGAAGCUUGCUUAUUAAGUAGGUGGACAUAACUGGACUAAUAAUGCUGACAUGAGUAGCCUAAAAGGAGGUAAAUUUCCUCUUCGCCGAAAGCAGAAGGGUUUCAUUAGUAAGGUCUAUACCUAAAUGAUUAAAGUAACGGCCUCUAAGGCAAGAUGACAAAUCAACUAAUUAUAAUGCCGAUGAGUAAUUCUUCUAUAGGAAAGUAAGCUUACUUAUAAUUUUUCCUUCCUUACCCUGUAGCGGCAUAGGUACGCCUAACAGGGUUAAUUUUUCAGAGGUAAAUUUCAAAGAAUAAGUUACAGGAAAGAGUCUUAUAGAGACUUAAUUUUUUCUAAAGGCAACUUUUAAGAAAGAUUAGGUAAAUUCAACCGUACCCUAAACCGACACAGGUCUGCAAGUAGAGCAUACUAAGGCGUUGAGAUAAUCGUUUUGAAGGAACUCGGCAAAAUAGCCCUGUAACUUAGGGAGAAGGGGUACCAUAUAUUAUGGUGGCACUAAAUAGGGGGGCGCGACUGUUUACUUAAAACACUGGACUCUGCUAACACUAAGGUGGAUGUAUAGAGU